AGCGAACGCUGGCGGCAGGCUUAACAUAUGCAAGUCGAGCGGGCAUCUUCGGGUGUCAGCGGCGGACGGGUGAGUAACGCGUGGGAACGUGCCUUCUGGUUCGGAAUAACUCAGGGAAACUUGAGCUAAUACCGGAUACGCCCUUUUGGGGAAAGGUUUACUGCCGGAAGAUCGGUCCGCGUCUGAUUAGCUAGUUGGUGGGGUAACGGCCUACCAAGGCGACGAUCAGUAGCUGGCCUGAGAGGAUGAUCAGCCACACUGGGACUGAGACACGGCCCAGACUCCUACGGGAGGCAGCAGUGGGGAAUAUUGGACAAUGGGCGCAAGCCUGAUCCAGCCAUGCCGCGUGAGUGAUGAAGGCCUUAGGGUUGUAAAGCUCUUUUAUCCGGGACGAUAAUGACGGUACCGGAGGAAUAAGCCCCGGCUAACUUCGUGCCAGCCGCCGCCGUAA
rnacentral:rRNA from 1 species